rnacentral:rRNA from 1 species
UACGAAGGGGGCUAGCGUUGCUCGGAAUUACUGGGCGUAAAGCGCACGUAGGCGGCUCUUUAAGUCGGAGGUGAAAUCCUGGAGCUCAACUCCAGAACUGCCUUCGAUACUGAAGAGCUCGAGUCCGGGAGAGGUGAGUGGAACUGCGAGUGUAGAGGUGAAAUUCGUAGAUAUUCGCAAGAACACCAGUGGCGAAGGCGGCUCACUGGCCCGGUACUGGCGCUGAGGUGCGAAAGCGUGGGGAGCAAACAGG